UCUAAAACUAUUCUAACCCUAACUCUUAAUCUUUUGAGCUAUCCAAAAUGUUACAGCCGGAUUAAAAGAUUUAGUUUUAUUAUACUUGAUAUAUAAAAUUAUUCUAAAUUUUAAAACGUCACAUUCUUUUAUCCUUUAAACCUUGACGUCUUCAUGAGGCUCAAACACACUCAAAAGCCCCAAAUAAUAUGAGACUCGUCUCGCUAGCUUCAGUCGAUCUUGUGGGAAGCAGCACGCCAUCCACAAUGAUCGUCAACCAAGAAGCUGUGCUUUGUCUAACUGUAACCUUGGCUAAGACGAGAUUCAUAUCACACUUCCGAUUGAUUAUCGACUAUAAUACCAACUGUAAUGUCCCACUUUCUAGAGAAAUUAUCUAUUCUAGAACUGCUUAAACUCUAGUCGGGCUAAAAGGAUUAGUAUUAUUAGAGUUAUAUAUAAGAUUAUUCCGAAUCCUAAAGUGUAACAUAUCAACACAUGAUUUUUAUUAGGGAUAAUUGGCUAUAUACCCCCUCAAAACUUUGAAAAUAUUUAAUUUUAUCUUCUUUUUUUUCUGUUUCAAAUAUACCCCUCAUAUAUUCUUCUGUUAUUCAAAAAUACCCCUACAAUUACCACCCGUUAAGUUAUCUCGGAUUAAAUAUAAGUUAAAUAUCUACCAAAAUUAAAAAAAUAAAAAUACUUCUUUUACCCUUAACUAAGGACAAAUAAAAAAAAUUGAUGAUGGCAGAAUGAUAUAUUUGAAAAGACAAAAAAUUAAAAUAUUUUUUUUACUCCUAACUUCAGAACAAAUAAGAAAAAUUGAUAAUGAUAGGAUGAUAAAUUUAAAAAAGCAAAAUAGUAAUUUUACAGAGAUAAGGACUAUUGUUAACAGUUCCAUAUCAGAAUUAACUCUAAGAGUUUAUGUGAAAUAACUUGAAACGUUAAAAAGAUAUUUUUAACAGAGUGAUAAAUCAGAAAGUCGAAAACAUUUCAACAAAAAUAUAAGCAAUUUGCCCUUUUAUUAAAUAGCUACAGAAAAUGUUAUAUCAAAUGAAAAAAAUAGACCUUUUUUUAAAAAAAAAUAAAGGCUCAAGGUGCUAAAGAAAAUUAUCAGAUAGAUCACACCACGUGUGUAAAUAAAACGAGGACGGAAAUUUAAUCCAUUAAUAACAAAUAGAAAGAGGAGUCGAGGAGCUUAAAAUGGACUUUGUUACCAUAUCACUCAAAGAUGCUUUAAUAGGAAAAUGUAUGGAAAUAGUUUUGUAAGUCACUAAAUAUUCUUGUCACUAAAUAUUCUUGUCAUUUUGUCUAAUUGUAUAUAUGUGGAAGAUACAAUGUCUCCUAAGGACCUCAACUUAAACUCACUUAAAGCCAACAAAUAAACCGUGUUGACAUAGUACAUAAGAAGAAGAAAAUUCUGCUGCUGCUUCUUUUUCUUAUGUACGCAAAAUUUAAAAACAAUCUCCAAAUAAGAAAGAAUGGAAUACAUAUGAAGAAGAAGAAGAAUCAACAGAAUUGGUAGAAAAGAAUAAGCAGUGAAAAGAGUAAAGAAGACAAAGAAGAAGAUAGAGGUAAGAAACUGCUAGAGGAUUUUAAAGUUGCUCUAAACUUACCGAACAUAAGAAAAAG
rnacentral:lncRNA from 1 species